rnacentral:rRNA from 1 species
GGAUGAUGUGGAUAAUCGAUGCAACGCGAAAACCUUACUACCCUUGACAUGUCCGGAAUCCCGAAGAGAUUUGGGAGUGCUCGCAAGAGAGCCGGAACACAGGUGCUGCAUGGCUGUCGUCAGCUCGUGUCGUGAGAUGUUGGGUUAAGUCCCGCAACGAGCGCAACCCUUGUCAUUAGUUGCCAUCAUUUGGUUGGGCACUCUAAUGAGACUGCCGGUGACAAACCGGAGGAAGGUGGGGAUGACGUCAAGUCCUCAUGGCCCUUAUGGGUAGGGCUUCACACGUCAUACAAUGGUCGGUACAGAGGGUUGCCAACCCGCGAGGGGGAGCUAAUCCCACAAAGCCGAUCGUAGUCCGGAUCGCAGUCUGCAACUCGACUGCGUGAAGUCGGAAUCGCUAGUAAUCGUGGAUCAGCAUGUCACGGUGAAUACGUUCCCGGGUCUU